rnacentral:rRNA from 1 species
GCCUACGACCAGGCCACCCUGAACAAGCCCGAUUCCGUCUGAUUCGGAAGCUAAGCAGGGUCGGGAUUGGUUAGUACUCGGAUGGGAGACCACCUAGGAAGACAUUGGUUAGUAC